GCCCACUUAGCUCAGUGGAAGAGCGCCACUCUCCUAUUUUUGAAAAGUGGACGUCGCGGGUUCAAUCCCCGCAGUGGGUU